CCUACGGGGGGCAGCAGUAGGGAAUCUUUCACAAUGGGCGAAAGCCUGAUGGAGCAACGCCGCGUGCAGGAUGAAGGCCUUCGGGUUGUAAACUGCUUUUAUCAGCGAGAAAUAUGAUGGUAACUUAUGAAUAAGGAUCGGCUAACUACGUGCCAGCAGCCGCGGUCAUACGUAGGAUCCGAGCAUUAUCCGGAGUGACUGGGUGUAAAGAGUUGCGUAGGUGGCAUAAUAAGUUGCUAGUGAAAUCUGGUGGCUCAACCAUUCAGACUAUUAGCUAAACUGUUAAGCUCGAGACCGUUAGGGGUAACUGGAAUUUCUAGUGUAGGAGUGAAAUCCGUAGAUAUUAGAAGGAACACCAAUAGCGUAGGCAGGUUGCUGGGACGGUUCUGACACUAAGGCACGAAAGCGUAGGGAGCAAACGGGAUUAGAUACCCGAGUAGUC
rnacentral:rRNA from 1 species